rnacentral:rRNA from 1 species
AACGAACGCUGGCGGCAUGCCUAACACAUGCAAGUCGAACGAGACCUUCGGGUCUAGUGGCGCACGGGUGCGUAACGCGUGGGAACCUGCCCUUAGGUUCGGAAUAACUCCCCGAAAGGGGUGCUAAUACCGGAUAAUGUCUUCGGACCAAAGAUUUAUCGUCCUUGGAUGGGCCCGCGUUGGAUUAGCUAGUUGGUAGGGUAAAAGCCUACCAAGGCGACGAUCCAUAGCUGGUCUGAGAGGAUGAUCAGCCACACUUGGACUGAGACACGGCCCAGACUCCUACGGGAGGCAGCAGUGGGGAAUAUUGGACAAUGGGCGAAAGCCUGAUCCAGCAAUGCCGCGUGAGUGAUGAAGGCCUUAGGGUUGUAAAGCUCUUUUACCCGGGAUGAUAAUGACAGUACCGGGAGAAUAAGCUCCGGCUAACUCCGUG